rnacentral:rRNA from 1 species
AUUGAACGCUGGCGGCAGGCCUAACACAUGCAAGUCGAACGCGUGGCGGACGGGUGAGUAAUUUCUGGGAAACUGCCCGAUGGAGGGGGAUAACUCCUGGAAACGGUAGCUAAUACCGCAUACCAUCGGAUGUUCCCAGAUGGGCUUAGCGAGUAGGUGGGGUAACGGCGCACCUAGGCGACGAUCCCGAGCUGGUCUGAGAGGAUGACCAGCCAACCUGGAACUGAGACACGGUCCAGACUCCUACGGGAGGCAGCAGUGGGGAAUAUUGCACAAUGGGCGCAAGCCGGAUGCAGCCAUGCCGCGUGUAUGAAGAAGGCCUUCGGGUUGUAAAGUACUUUCAGCGAGGAGGCGUUACUCGCAGAAGAAGCAUCGGCUAACUCCGUGCCAGCAGCCGCGGUAAUUA